rnacentral:rRNA from 1 species
UACGUAGGUGGCGAGCGUUGUCCGGAUUUACUGGGCGUAAAGGGAGCGUAGGCGGACUUUUAAGUGAGAUGUGAAAUACUCGGGCUCAACUUGAGUGCUGCAUUUCAAACUGGAAGUCUAGAGUGCAGGAGAGGAGAAUGGAAUUCCUAGUGUAGCGGUGAAAUGCGUAGAGAUUAGGAAGAACACCAGUGGCGAAGGCGAUUCUCUGGACUGCAACUGACGCUGAGGCUCGAAAGCGUGGGGAGCAAACAGG